rnacentral:rRNA from 1 species
GAUGAACGCUAGCGACAGGCUUAACACAUGCAAGUCGAGGGGCAGCAUGAUUUGUAGCAAUACAGAUUGAUGGCGACCGGCGCACGGGUGAGUAACGCGUAUGCAACUUACCUAUCAGAGGGGGAUAGCCCGGCGAAAGUCGGAUUAAUACCCCAUAAAACAGGGGUCCCGCAUGGGAAUAUUUGUUAAAGAUUCAUCGCUGAUAGAUAGGCAUGCGUUCCAUUAGGCAGUUGGCGGGGUAACGGCCCACCAAACCGACGAUGGAUAGGGGUUCUGAGAGGAAGGUCCCCCACAUUGGUACUGAGACACGGACCAAACUCCUACGGGAGGCAGCAGUGAGGAAUAUUGGUCAAUGGCCGAGAGGCUGAACCAGCCAAGUCGCGUGAAGGAAGAAGGAUCUAUGGUUUGUAAACUUCUUUUAUAGGGGAAUAAAGUGGAGGACGUGUCCUUUUUGUAUGUACCCUAUGAAUAAGCAUCGGCUAACUCCGUGCCAGCAGCCGC